rnacentral:rRNA from 1 species
CCUACGGGUGGCAGCAGUGGGGAAUAUUGCACAAUGGGGGAAACCCUGAUGCAGCAACGCCGCGUGGGUGAAGGAGCGUUUCGGCGCGUAAAGCCCUGUCAGCGGGGAAGAAGAAAGACGGUACCCGACCAAGAAGCCCCGGCUAACUACGUGCCAGCAGCCGCGGUAAUACGUAGGGUGCGAGCGUUAAUCGGAAUUACUGGGCGUAAAGCGCUCGUAGGCGGUAUGUCAAGUCAAGGGUGAAAUCCCCGCGCUCAACGUGGGAACUGCCUUUGAAACUGGCAAACUGGAGUGUGUGAGAGGAUAGUGGAAUUCCAGGUGUAGGAGUGAAAUCCGUAGAUAUCUGGAGGAACAUCAGUGGCGAAGGCGACUAUCUGGCACAUAACUGAUGCUGAGGAGCGAAAGCGUGGGUAGCAAACAGGAUUAGAUACCCUGGUAGUC